GAUGAACGCUGGCGGCGUGCCUAAUACAUGCAAGUCGAGCGAAUGGAUUGAGAGCUUGCUCUUAUGAAGUUAGCGGCGGUCGGGUGAGUAACACGUGGGUAACCUGCCAUAAGACUGGGAUAACUCCGGGAAACCGGGGCUAAUACCGGAUAACAUUUUGAACCGCAUGGUUCGAAAUUGAAAGGCGGCUUCGGCUGUCACUUAUGGAUGGACCCGCGUCGCAUUAGCUAGUUGGUGAGGUAACGGCUCACCAAGGCAACGAUGCGUAGCCGACCUGAGAGGGUGAUCGGCCACACUGGGACUGAGACACGGCCCAGACUCCUACGGGAGGCAGCAGUAGGGAAUCUUCCGCAAUGGACGAAAGUCUGACGGAGCAACGCCGCGUGAGUGAUGAAGGCUUUCGGGUCGCAAAACUCUGUUGUUAGGGAAGAACAAGUGCUAGUUGAAUAAGCUGGCACCUUGACGGUACCUAACCAGAAAGCCACGGCUAACUACGUGCCAGCCGCCGCGGUAA
rnacentral:rRNA from 1 species